GACGAACGCUGGCGGCGUGCUUAACACAUGCAAGUCGAACGAUGAAGCCGGAGCUUGCUCUGGUGAAUUAGUGGCGAACGGGUGAGUAACACGUGAGUAACCUGCCCUUGACUCUGGGAUAACUGCUAGAAAUGGUAGCUAAUACCGGAUACGACCCUCGGCGGCAUCGCCAGGGGGUGGAAAGAAUUUCGGUCAAGGAUGGACUCGCGGCCUAUCAGCUAGUUGGUGAGGUAACGGCUCACCAAGGCGACGACGGGUAGCCGGCCUGAGAGGGUGACCGGCCACACGGGGACUGAGACACGGCCCAGACUCCUCCGGGAGGCAGGAGUGGGGAAUAUUGCACAAUGGGCGCAAGCCUGAUGCAGCAACGCCGCGUGAGGGAUGACGGCCUUCGGGUUGUAAACCUCUUUUAGUAGGGAAGAAGCGAAAGUGACGGUACCUGCAGAAAAAGCACCGGCUAACUACGUGCCAGCAGCCGCCGUAA
rnacentral:rRNA from 1 species